rnacentral:rRNA from 1 species
UGUGUGAUGAAGGCUUCGGUGUAAAGCACUGUUGUAUGGGAAGAACAGCUGAAGGAAAUGAUUUUAGUUGACGGUACCAUACCAGAAAGGGACGGCUAAAUACGUGCCAGCAGCCGCGGUAAUACGUAUGUCCCGAGCGUUAUCCGGAUUUAUUGGGCGUAAAGCGAGCGCAGACGGUNUAUUAAGUCUGAUGUGAAAGCCCGGAGCUCAACUCCGGAAUGGCAUUGGAAACUGGUUAACUUGAGUGCAGUAGAGGUAAGUGGAACUCCAUGUGUAGCGGUGGAAUGCGUAGAUAUAUGGAAGAACACCAGUGGCGAAGGCGGCUUACUGGACUGCAACUGACGUUGAGGCUCGAAAGUGUGGGUAGCAAACAGGAUUAGAUACCCUGGUAGUCCACACCGUAAACGAUGAACACUAGGUGUUAGGAGGUUUCCGCCUCUUAGUGCCGAAGCUAACGCAUUAAGUGUUCCGCCUGGGGAGUACGACCGCAAGGUUGAAACUCAAAGGAAUUGACGGGGACCCGCACAAGCGGUGGAGCAUGUGGUUUAAUUCGAAGCAACGCGAAGAACCUUACCAGGUCUUGACAUCCUUUGAAGCUUUUAGAGAUAGAAGUGUUCUCUUCGGAGACAAAGUGACAGGUGGUGCAUGGUCGUCGUCAGCUCGUGUCGUGAGAUGUUGGGUUAAGUCCCGCAACGAGCGCAACCCUUAUUGUUAGUUGCCAGCAUUCAGAUGGGCACUCUAGCGAGACUGCCGGUGACAAACCGGAGGAAGGCGGGGACGACGUCAGAUCAUCAUGCCCCUUAUGACCUGGGCUACACACGUGCUACAAUGGCGUAUACAACGAGUUGCCAACCCGCGAGGGUGAGCUAAUCUCUUAAAGUACGUCUCAGUUCGGAUUGUAGUCUGCAACUCGACUACAUGAAGUCGGAAUCGCUAGUAAUCGCGGAUCAGCACGCCGCGGUGAAUACGUUCCCGGGUCUUGUACACACCGCCCGUCACACCAUGGGAGUUUGUAAUGCCCAAAGCCGGUGGCCUAACCUUUUAGGAAGGAGCCGUCUAAGGCAGGACAGAUGACUGGGGAAAGUG